rfam:Myotis brandtii contig249780, whole genome shotgun sequence.
GCCGGUUUGGCUCAGUGGAUAGAGUGUUGGCCUGCGACCAAAGGGUCUCAGGUUCGAUUCCAGUAAAGGGCA